rnacentral:rRNA from 1 species
GACGAACCGUGCGAACGUUGUCCGGAAUUAUUGGGCGUAAAGAGCUCGUAGGCGGCUUGUUGCGUCGACUGUGAAAAACCACGACUCAACCGUGGGACUGCAGUCGAUACGGGCAGGCUAGAGUUCGGUAGGGGAGACUGGAAUUCCUGGUGUAGCGGUGAAAUGCGCAGAUAUCAGGAGGAACACCGGUGGCGAAGGCGGGUCUCUGGGCCGAUACUGACGCUGAGGAGCGAAAGCGUGGGGAGCGAACAGG